rnacentral:rRNA from 1 species
GAUGAACGCUGGCGGCGUGCUUAACACAUGCAAGUCGAACGAACCUUCGGGUUAGUGGCGGACGGGUGAGUAACGCGUGAGAAUCUGCCCUCAGGAGGGGGAUAACGGUUGGAAACGACCGCUAAUACCCCAUAUGCCGCGAGGUGAAAUGAAUUUCGCCUGAGGAUGAGCUCGCGUCUGAUUAGCUAGUUGGUGGGGUAAAGGCCUACCAAGGCAUCGAUCAGUAGCUGGUCUGAGAGGAUGAUCAGCCACACUGGGACUGAGACACGGCCCAGACUCCUACGGGAGGCAGCAGUGGGGAAUUUUCCGCAAUGGGCGAAAGCCUGACGGAGCAACGCCGCGUGAGGGAUGAAGGCCUCUGGGCUGUAAACCUCUUUAUCAAGGAAGAAGAUCUGACGGUACUUGAUGAAUAAGCCACGGCUAAUUCCGUGCCAGCAGCCG